rnacentral:rRNA from 1 species
UAGCUUGCUACUUUGCUGACGAGCGGCGGACGGGUGAGUAAUGCCUGGGAAUAUGCCUUGAUGUGGGGGAUAACUAUUGGAAACGAUAGCUAAUACCGCAUAAUGUCUUCGGACCAAAGAGGGGGAUCUUCGGACCUCUCGCGUCAAGAUUAGCCCAGGUGAGAUUAGCUAGUUGGUGGGGUAAGAGCUCACCAAGGCGACGAUCUCUAGCUGGUCUGAGAGGAUGAUCAGCCACACUGGAACUGAGACACGGUCCAGACUCCUACGGGAGGCAGCAGUGGGGAAUAUUGCACAAUGGGCGAAAGCCUGAUGCAGCCAUGCCGCGUGUAUGAAGAAGGCCUUCGGGUUGUAAAGUACUUUCAGUCGUGAGGAAGGGUGUGCAGUUAAUAGCUGUACAUCUUGACGUUAGCGACAGAAGAAGCACCGGCUAACUCCGUGCCAGCAGCCGCGGUAAUACGGAGGGUGCGAGCGUUAAUCGGAAUUACUGGGCGUAAAGCGCAUGCAGGUGGUUCAUUAAGUCAGAUGUGAAAGCCCGGGGCUCAACCUCG